GAUAGUCGGUCAAGAGGAGCGGCAGGUCCGCAUU
rnacentral:sRNA from 1 species